ACGGCUCAGUAACACGUGGACAACCUACCCUAUGGAGGGGGAUAACCCCGGGAAACUGGGGAUAAUACCCCAUAGACUAUGGAAGCUGGAAUGCUCUGUAGUUGAAAGGUCCGCCGCCAUAGGAUGGGUCUGCGGCCGAUUAGGUUGUUGUUGGGGUAACGGCCCAACAAGCCUGUAAUCGGUACGGGUUGUGGGAGCAAGAGCCCGGAGAUGGAUUCUGAGACACGAAUCCAGGCCCUACGGGGCGCAGCAGGCGCGAAAACUUUACAAUGCGGGAAACCGUGAUAAGGGAACUCCGAGUGCCCGUAAAAUCGGGCUGUCCAUCUGUUUAAAUAACAGGUGAAGAAAGGGCCGGGCAAGACCGGUGCCAGCUGCCGCGGUAAUACCGGCGGCUCGAGUGGUGGCCACUAUUACUGGGCUUAAAGCGUUCGUAGCUGGUCUGUUAAGUCUCUGGGGAAAUCUACUGGCUUAACCAAUAGACGUUUCAGGGAUACUGGCAGACUAGGGACCGGGAGAGGUGAGAGGUACUCCAGGGGUAGGAGUGAAAUCCUGUAAUCCUUGGGGGACCACCUGUGGCGAAGGCGUCUCACCAGAACGGCUCCGACAGUGAGGGACGAAAGCUGGGGGAGCAAACCGGAUUAGAUACCCGGGUAGUCCCAGCCGUAAACGAUGUGCGUUAGGUGUAUCGAUGACCACGAGUCAUCGAGGUGCCGAAGAGAAAUCGUGAAACGUACCGCCUGGGAAGUACGGUCGCAAGGCUGAAACUUAAAGGAAUUGGCGGGGGAGCAC
rnacentral:rRNA from 1 species